CCCUGCUCCCUCUUCUUCCCUCACGGCGCUCCGAGUCCCUCAAGGAGCAGCGCCAGCACCUGCCGGGCUUCCCCGCUGCGGCGCCGGACGACGAGCACGCCAGAGCCCGCCUGAUGAGUGCCCGCCUGCCGCGCCGCACAGACCACUGAGCCCAGUGAUCCAGUCUUAUGCUUGGAGGGACUGUGACAGGUGUACAUGCCCAAAGGAAACACAGAAGGAGAAAAUCUACAGACUGAAACAAGGAGGACAGGGGGCAAAUUGUGGAAAUACUUCAUGCCUAGAACGUCGCUGAGGUAAGUGAAAUUUAAGCAUGUGAACCUUGCCAAAAUACAAGUUACCAGCUCCUAUUCCAAAAUUGCAACAUCCUGGUAGAUGAAGCGUUUGUAAAUAGUGACAUGGCUAAAAAGAAAUGGAUGCUGAUAGUUGGGAGAUAUGAUGGGAUUCAAUUUGCAUUAAGGAAAGGGUCAUGUAGUGAUGCAAUAUCAAAUUAUGUGUGAGAAAAUGAAUUGAUUUAGAUAUCAAUUGUAUGAGAUGGGAAGCUACAGUUCAUGCCUGGAACUUCCUGUUGUAGGCAGGUUAUAUUUACCUGGUCAAGUUUGAGAACAUCUGGGGCCUGGAGCAGUGCAGGUAAGCCCUGAAAACCAAGGAUCUCUGAUGGUAUUGUGCUGGUAUUAUGCUCUUGGUAUACCACACACACACAA